CAAUUGGUUAGUAGUGUUAAUAAGUGUUAGUACAAACAUAAAAAUUAAUGUGUGUUAAAAUUCAUAGAACAAAUAACAAUAACGAUCCACAACAACUGUUAAAAUAGUCACUAUGACUGGCUAAAAUCAAGAAAAAGGUCCACACCAGGGACCUUUUUCUUUUGUAUUAUUGUUCCAACAGUGACAGAUGAACAACGGUUGACAUUUCCGAAGAUUGGGUAGUGGAUGAGGUGGCUGUUCCGGAUUUCCGUUAUAAUCGUCUCCGGUUCGAACAACUUGUGAGAAGCGCACGUCGGAAGAACGCCAUUGUGAUCCACCCGCCUUGCUGAAGCACAUCCGCCAUCUUCCAUGUUCCGUCACCGUGAACCAAUCGCCAUUGUGUCCCAAAGCUUCUAUGGAAGUAGCUCAACCACCAACCAACUACCGUUCGGCGAUCCGUCGGCACGUGGGAAGUCAAGUGUCACGAACUGCCCCACCCUAGUUCGGUACCGUCGACAUCAUAUCAGCCAAAACGCUACCAAGAACCGAUUGCCCGAUACUCCGUCGGCAAUAGAGAUGCCUCGCCUUCUGGCCAACUACCAAGAAUUGGCCCACCCUAGUCCAGCAACCGUCGGGAAGAACCAAGCAAACCCGCUACCACCACUACCAACCGUCGCCAGGAUCCGGAUCCAGACUUCAAGUACCAAGCAUGCGAAAGAUAAGUACCCUUAAGUGACGUCACCCUUGUAAAUAAACCCUAUGUUAUUAGAUA